AUACGGAGGGUCCAAGCGUUAUCCGGAUUCAUUGGGUUUAAAGGGUCCGCAGGCGGGAAAAUAAGUCAGUGGUGAAAGCCUACAGCUCAACUGUAGAACUGCCAUUGAAACUGUUUUUCUUGAGUAUAGAUGAAGUGGGCGGAAUAUAUCAUGUAGCGGUGAAAUGCAUAGAUAUGAUAUAGAACACCGAUUGCGAAGGCAGCUCACUAAACUAUUACUGACGCUCAGGGACGAAAGUGUGGGGAGCGAACAGGAUUAGAAACCCUAGUAGUCC
rnacentral:rRNA from 1 species